UACGAAGGGAGCUAGCGUUGUUCGGAAUCACUGGGCGUAAAGCGCGCGUAGGCGGCUUUUCAAGUCAGGGGUGAAAUCCCACAGCUUAACUGUGGAACUGCCUUUGAAACUGUAAAGCUGGAAUGCAAGAGGGGAUAGCGGAAUUCCUAAUGUAGAGGUGAAAUUCGUAGAUAUUAGGAGGAACACCGGUGGCGAAAGCGGCUAUCUGGAUUGCAAUUGACGCUGAGGCGCGAAAGCGUGGGGAUCAAACAGG
rnacentral:rRNA from 1 species